rnacentral:rRNA from 1 species
AUUGAACGCUGGCGGCAGGCCUAACACAUGCAAGUCGAGCGGAGCGGCGGACGGGUGAGUAAUGCCUAGGAAUCUGCCUGGUAGUGGGGGAUAACGUCCGGAAACGGGCGCUAUUACCGCAUACUAUCAGAAGCGCCUAGGCCGGAUUAGCUAGUUGGUGGGGUAAAGGCCUACCAGGGCGACGAUCCGUAACUGGUCUGAGAGGAUGAUCAGCCACACUGGAACUGAGACACGGUCCAGACUCCUACGGGAGGCAGCAGUGGGGAAUAUUGCACAAUGGGCGCAAGCCUGAUGCAGCCAUGCCGCGUGUAUGAAGAAGGCCUUCGGGUUGUAAAGUACUUUCAGCGAGGAGGCGUUACUCGCAGAAGAAGCACCGGCUAACUCCGUGCCAGCAGCCGCGGUAAUAC